UCUGGUGUCUAUACUGCAGGGGAAACACCCGUUCCCAUUCCGAAUACGGAAGUUAAGCCCUGCAGGCCGAUGAUACUGAUGCCUUGUGCAUCGGGAAAGUAGGUAUCGCCAGAA
rnacentral:rRNA from 1 species